rnacentral:rRNA from 1 species
CCUACGGGAGGCAGCAGUGAGGAAUAUUGGUCAAUGGACGAGAGUCUGAACCAGCCAAGUAGCGUGAAGGAUGACUGCCCUAUGGGUUGUAAACUUCUUUUAUAUGGGAAUAAAAUGUUCCACGUGUGGGAUUUUGUAUGUACCAUAUGAAUAAGGAUCGGCUAACUCCGUGCCAGCAGCCGCGGUAAUACGGAGGAUCCGAGCGUUAUCCGGGUUUAUUGGGUUUAAAGGGAGCGUAGGUGGAUUGUUAAGUCAGUUGUGAAAGUUUGCGGCUCAACCGUAAAAUUGCAGUUGAAACUGGCAGUCUUGAGUACAGUAGAGGUGGGUGGAAUUCGUGGUGUAGCGGUGAAAUGCUUAGAUAUCACGAAGAACUCCGAUUGCGAAGGCAGUUCACUGGACUGCAACUGACACUGAGGCUCGAAAGUGUGGGUAUCAAACAGGAUUAGAGACCCUGGUAGUC